rnacentral:rRNA from 1 species
CCUACGGGAGGCAGCAGUAGGGAAUCUUCGGCAAUGGACGAAAGUCUGACCGAGCAACGCCGCGUGAGUGAAGAAGGUUUUCGGAUCGUAAAACUCUGUUGGUAGAGAAGAACGUUGGUGAGAGUGGAAAGCUCAUCAAGUGACGGUAACUACCCAGAAAGGGACGGCUAACUACGUGCCAGCAGCCGCGGUAAUACGUAGGUCC